UACGUAGGAGGCAAGCGUUGUCCGGAAUACUGGGCGUAAAGCGCGUGUAGGUGGUGGGACAAGUCUGCUGUGAAAGCGCCUGGCUUAACCGGGCGAGGUCGGCGGAAACUGCCUCACUUGAGGACGGUAGAGGGGGGUGGAAUUCCCGGUGUAGUGGUGAAAUGCGUAGAGAUCGGGAGGAACACCUGUGGCGAAGGCGGCCCCCUGGGCCGGCCCUGACACUGAGACGCGAAGGCGUGGGGAGCGAACAGG
rnacentral:rRNA from 1 species